CAGUGUAAAAUAUUUUGCACUAAAUCAUGCACCCACUUUUCUUUUCCUAUAUAUGCACUUCAAUAGAUCUAGAUUGAAUUUCUAGAUUUUUUUCUUAAGAUUUUAGACCCAAAGAAUGCCAAUGCUAAUUAGAAGGUAAAAGUCUGAGUUCGCCAUUUCCCGCCUUUUUAGCUCACCUGGCCCGAAGGGCCAAGUGAGCUUUUCCCAUCACUUUGCGUCCGGCGUCCGGCGUCGUCCGUCGUCGUUAACUUUUACAAAAAUCUUCUCCUCUGAAACUACUGGGCCAAAUUAAACCAAACUUUGCCACAAUCAUCAUUGGGGUAUCUAGUUUAAAAAAUGUGUGGCGUGACCCGGCCAACCAACCAAGAUGGCCGUUAUGGCUACAAAUAGAACAUAGG
rnacentral:lncRNA from 1 species